CUCUCAUUUAACUCGCUAAAAUAGCUUUAUAAUAAUCAUAUUAAUAGUAAUAAUAUUAGCCAUUAGAAAAUGUUUUGACAACAUUGACAGUGUUACAUUCUGUGUUGGGGUAAACCACGUCACAGUGUGCCAUCUCUCUGGGCUUCAGCGCUAUCAGACGUGCUUCUUUUGACACAUCUAGAUCCAUAAAACAUACGAGAUCAAUAAAUUAAUUUGUAUGUACAAAAUGAGAACCACAACACAACAAACAGAAUCAUGAUUUACACUGUGCGUCGUCCUCCACUUGCUGUCCAGCGGGUUGCCAGAUUGCAGUCUCACCGUCACCGGUGUGUUCUCAUGCAUCAUGUGUAUCCAGUAGUGGCAUCAUGAAAAGUUUCUAUCUUAUGGCAUCUCUAUUGCUAUAUGGUCCAGUCAAUUCAUUUUAGAAGAGAAAAAAGAAAAGCAUCUCAUGUUUGUAUGUACAAUAUGCUGUCUUGGCACUGAAUCGAAUGUGUAUAAAACAAGAGAACUCAAGAACAAAGCUGAGCUUAAAGACAGAAAAGCUUGCUGUAUCAAACCCGUGUGAUAAAAAAAUCAUGGUGUUCAGUGAGAAAUACAAGGGAUGAAAGAGGAGGAGGAGGAGAGGAGGUGGAGAGAGUACAGAAGUAGGAGCUAUUUCAUUUUUGCUACAUUACAGAGAAGAAUACCAAGAGUGGAGCAUCUGUAUCGGGUUGAUGUCUGUGUUGUUUUCCUGCCUCUGGCAGCACUAAGAGUUCAGAGUGGAAUAAAAGCACAUGGAGAAAGAAGGUCUUACGUUUGGAUCUUCCAUUCAAUCCAUCUGUUCAAAGCUUACUUUCCUCUUUUGGUGAUCUCUCACUACUCUCUGGAGUGUCCAUCAUUGAUCCCAGAGAAAAAUGUCUUCCCAGAGUUAUUGUCAGUUUGCUUUUCCUCUUCUCCGUCUCCUCAGUAGCAGCGAUUUAUUUUCAUUAUAGAUGAAACAGUUUUUUCUGUUAUUGUACACAAGACUCGCCCUUGAAUACAGAACAAUGUUUAUCCAUAGCUAUAAUUGACAACACCAUUUAUAAUAAUGAAAGUGAUGGCAAUAAUUAAUCCUUUCAAUGACAAUAAUCAUACUAAUAAUAAUCAUAUUGUAAUAACAAUAUAUGUAAUAUUGAGAAGAGCAAUGUCCAUUGAUAACAGGUAUUUACAUUUCGUAAAUGUGACGGUGGCAAGGUGUCAUUCUUUUUUUGUGUAUUUUUUUAUUAGAUUAAUUACACAGUAAUUGCUCAGUUGUCUCUGAUCCACAUGGUUAGCUGUGUGUGUACUGUAAAGCAACAUUACAGUGUUAAUACACACGCAUACACGCACAAACAGAAUUAAACCUCAGUGCUAAAGGCACAUUGGAGUUUCAGUUCAACAUCUGUUUGAUGAGAGCUGCUCUGGAGGCAGAAGGGAAUAAAAGAAUCAACAAACAGGUUUCAAGAAAGUCUAGUCAAAGUGGAAGGUAAAGUAUUAAAGAUAUGAUCCUUAUGACUUCUAUUAAAUCACACUGAUGCUAGAUAAGGUCAAAGCUUUUCAGCAAUAGCCGUCCUGUAAGUGCCUCGCUGUUAAUAGGGGGGUCCUGUGCUGCCGCUGUACUUUUAUCUCAUUGAUAUCAGCUCUUUUAGACAUGUUUUCAUAUUUAAUGCAAAUAUUUAAUGAACUUCCACUAAAUCAGCCAGAGAAAAUGCUAAUCAAUGUGCAUAAUCAUCCACAGUGGGUGGCAGUAAUUGUCUAGUAAGGUGUCAUUAAAACACUGCAAACGAGAGCGGCGAGGUGGUUUCAUUAAAUGAGUCAAGUCAAACCGUA
ensembl:lncRNA